UACGGGGGGGGCAAGCGUUGUUCGGAAUUACUGGGCGUAAAGGGCUCGUAGGUGGCCAACUAAGUCAGACGUGAAAUCCCUCGGCUUAACCGGGGAACUGCGUCUGGUACUGGAUGGCUAGAGUUUGGGAGAGGGAUGCGGAAUUCCAGGUGUAGCGGUGAAAUGCGUAGAUAUCUGGAGGAACACCGGUGGCGAAGGCGGCAUCCUGGACCAACACUGACGCUGAGGAGCGAAAGCCAGGGGAGCAAACGGG
rnacentral:rRNA from 1 species